rnacentral:rRNA from 1 species
AUGAGGGGAAAAUCACAAGGUCAGGGUACACUCAACUUCGAGCCGGGUUCAUCACUUACAUCUGUUUGCACUGAAUAUAAUCCUGAAGAAACUCGUAAGAUCAUUGCUAAGAUGGUAAUUGCACAUGAUUAUCCUUUUAGAAUGGUAGAACACAAAUGGUUUAAUAUCUUGAUGAGACAUAUGAAUCCAGCAUAUAAGUUCAUUGGUAGAAAGACCAUAAGAAAAGAGUGUAUCAAGGUUUGUGAAUCUGAGAAGGAACUUCUUAAGAAGAGUUUCAGGGAUGUCGAACAUAUUUGUUUAACAAGUGACUUGUGGACAUCAAAUCAAAAUCUCUCCUACAUGGCUUUGGUCGCUCACUACAUAGAUGUCGAUUGGGUUAUGCAAUGUCAUGUCCUGAACUUUAUUGAGUUAGAUCCACCACAUUCAGGAAGCAUCAUAGCUCAAGCAAUAUUUGAAUGUUUAUGUGAAUGGAAAAUAGAGGACAAGGUCAUCUCAAUCACAGUUGACAAUGCUAGAAAUAAUGAUGGGGCUGUGAGGAAUUUGAUUAACAAGUUUGUUGCAAGGAAAGUACCUGGCUUCAUUUCCACACAUUUUCAUGUUCGUUGUUGUGCUCACAUAGUCAACUUGGUAGUGAAUGAUGGUUUGGAACCAUUGCAAGCUUUUAUUAGCUCGCUAAGGGAAACUGUGAAGUAUUUGAAGAACUCUCCUAGUCGCAUGUAUAAAUUCCUUGAAGUUUGUAAAACACUGAAUAUAGAACCUGGGGCUGGAUUAUGUCUAGAUGUGUCAACAAGGUGGAAUUCAACAUACAAGAUGUUUGAUUCUUGUACUCCCUAUAGGCCUGUUUUUCAUGAAUAUGCAGACUCGGAUAUGAAUUACACGUGGAAGCCUUCUCAUGCAGAUUGGAAUAUGUAUUCCAAGGUGCAACCAAUCUUGACGCAAUUUGCUGAGAUAACUAAGGUGUUAUCAGGAUCUGUAUACCCUACUGCAAGUAUCUUUUACCCUUAUAUAGUGACUGUCAAAAUGGAGAUAGUGGUUGCAUGUCAUUCUAAAUAUAAGCAUCUAUCAGCUAUGGCGUACGCAAUGAUAGAUAAAUUUGAUAGGUAUUGGGCGGAGAAAAACAAUGUUAUGGUUCUUGCUACUGUUUUAGAUCCUAGGUGGAAGAUGAGAUUUGUUGGUUACUGUUUUAGAAAGAUUUAUGGUGAAACCAAGGGCUGUGAGGAGGAAGCUGAGGUUAGAAAGGAGUUGUACGACCUAUAUGACACUUAUGAGGCUGAGUAUCGCCAAAAGAAUUCUGCUACUCAAAAUACUGGAGGUACGUCUUUGAGUAUGCAAUCAAGGGCAUCAACAACCAUAGUACGACCAAGUGGUUUUCGGAACUAUCUACAAGCAACAGCUACAGAAGCAUCUAAAUCAGAAUUGCUCCUCUAUUUGGAUGAAGCAAAUGUAGAUCCCGAAGACACAACAUUUGUGUUACUUGAUUGGUGGAAGGUGAAUGCUCAUAGGUUCCCCGUUAUAUCCAAGAUGGCACGUAGAUUCUUGACUAUACCGGCUACUAGUGUUUCUUCCGAGUCAACUUUCUCUACAGGAGGUAGAAUCCUUGAUGAUUACCGGAGUUCUCUACGUCCAGCAAUGGUCGAGGCAUUAGUAUGUGCCUCUAGCUUCAUACGAGGUUCACACCAGGACAAUCAACCACCAAUAAUAGUGGAUGAGGAGGAGGAUGUUGAAUUCAUACCAUUUCCUAAGAGUGAGGUGGAAAGCUCUUGA